CCUACGGGAGGCAGCAGUAGGGAAUAUUGGACAAUGGGGGCAACCCUGAUCCAGCGACGCCGCGUGUGUGAAGAAGGCCUGCGGGUUGUAAAGCACUUUUAGUGGGGAUGAAAAGUGCAGAGAUAAUACCUCUGCAUCUUGACCUAACCCACAGAAAAAGCACCGGCUAACUCUGUGCCAGCAGCCGCGGUAAU
rnacentral:rRNA from 1 species